CUAAGUUUGUUGCAAUUCCAUAGUAUGCCAUCCUCUCAAACACCUCGUACGCUACGAAACCAACAUUUUGAAAACAUUAACCACUCCUUUCUCAACUCAAGAACUAGAAGAACAAAACCCAACACAGGUUUCAAACAAGCUUUAAAAAGAGAGCUUGCAGAAGUGGAGGCCAGAAGAAGAUGGACAAAAGCAAAAGCAAAAGCAAAACAAAACAGGAAAGCUUGUCGAAGAUUAUAAUUACCAACAAUGAAGGAACAGGCUCUCCAUCUCCCAGUCUUUGAUCUUAAGACAGGUAAACCUUUGAGACUCACGGUUCCAUCUUCAGUAUAAUCAUCUCUUCCAUUUUCAGAUCCUUUCUCCCCCACUUGUGCCAUUAUAGUAAACAACGGAGAGGCAGAGUAAUAAUGAAGGAACUUUCUAUAAGGAAAUCGUUGAAAUUCAUGUGAGUUCUAUUACCUUUUUAUAUAAUCUUAAGGUAGCCAUGCAUCUUUAAACAACCUCCCUCCCCCAAUAAAAAUAAAUAAAUAAAUGAAAUCACCACCACAAACUUAUUUAGUGUGAAGUUUAAUAAUAUUAGUAUAAAGUAAGUAAAUUAGGCAUGCUCAUGCUGGCUAUGGUUUUAAAAGGUUUGGAAAUUUUGAUUUUGAGCAUUUUUUAGUUUUAUAAAAAAAAAACAGUGUGAAAGGUGGAAUUAAAAAGGAAAGUUUUUGUAGUUAGUAUAGUUAAUUAUCAAACCUAAAUAUUUGUUAUAGAGACAUGUUAGUCAUUUUUGUUUUGAGAGAUCUGUUUCAUUCAUUUGUACAAAAGACCAUAUGCCCUUGUAGCUUCUCAUUGGGUGUUAUUAUUUGUUUCUUCUUUCCUCCAAUGUGAGAAGUUGGCCUCUAAAUCAACGAUUGAAUUAGUGUUGACAUAAUCUUGCCACUCUUUUUCAGUCACUUUCACAUUUUGGUUUCACUUAUUAUUAUAUUUUUAUGUUUACAAUUUUGAGGAGAAUGUCUAAUCAAUAUGAUAGACCGUCGCAGUUAACACAUAUUACAAACUUUUCUAGCUUGUAGUUAUCUUUACAUUCGGCAGAAGAUGAUAAGCUUCAGUUU